CCUACGGGAGGCAGCAGUGGGGAAUAUUGGGCAAUGGGCGCAAGCCUGACCCCGCAACGCCGCGUGAAGGAAGAAGGCUUUCGGGUUGUAAACUUCUUUUGUCAGGGACGAAGCAAGUGACGGUACCUGCCGAAUAAGCCACGGCUAACUACGUGCCAGCAGCCGCGGUAAUACGUAGGUGGCAAGCGUUAUCCGGAUUUACUGGGUGUAAAGGGCGUGUAGGCGGGGAGGCAAGUCAGAUGUGAAAACCACGGGCUCAACCUGUGGCCUGCAGUUGAAACUGUGUUUCUUGAGUGCUGGAGAGGCAAUCGGAAUUCCGUGUGUAGCGGUGAAAUGCGUAGAGAUACGGAGGAACACCAGUGGCGAAGGCGGAUUGCUGGACAGUAACUGACGCUGAGGCGCGAAAGCGUGGGGAGCAAACAGGAUUAGAUACCCUUGUAGUC
rnacentral:rRNA from 1 species